rnacentral:rRNA from 1 species
UAAACACCCAGUUAAUUGGCUGAAAGGUUUGUGGUAAGAAGCCUAAACAAAAUUUUGUUUUAGAACAUAAAUUUUGACCUCAAAUCAGGUAAGGAUACCCGCUGAACUUAAGCAUAUCAAUAAGCGGAGGAAAAGAAACCAACAGGGAUUGCCUUAGUAACGGCGAGUGAAGCGGCAAAAGCUCAAAUUUGAAAUCUAGUGCCUUUGGUACUCGAGUUGUAAUUUGAAGAAUUUUUCUCCGAACAGUCCUUUAUCUAUGUUCCUUGGAACAGGACGUCAUAGAGGGUGAGAAUCCCGUGUGAUUUUGGAUACUGUUCAUUGUGAGAUUUAUUCGAAGAGUCGAGUUGUUUGGGAAUGCAGCUCUAAGUGGGUGGUAAGUUCCAUCUAAAGCUAAAUAUUGGCGAGAGACCGAUAGCGAACAAGUACAGUGAUGGAAAGAUGAAAAGAACUCUGAAGAGAGGGUGAAAAAGUACGUGAAAUUGCUGAAAGGGAAGGGCUUUAGGUCAGACUUGGUGUUUAAUACUCAGUUCUCCUUGUGGGAGCUGCUCUUGUUUUUCACUGGGCCAAUAUCAGUUUUGGCGGUAGAGCACCUCUGGAAAUGUAGCUGCCUUCGGGUAGUGUUAUAGUCUGGGGACGAUCUACUGCUGGGACUGAGGUCUGCGCAUUUUGCUAGGAUAUUGGCAUAAUGACCUUAAGCCGCCCGUCUUGAAACACGGACCAAGG